rnacentral:lncRNA from 1 species
GGAUUUUGAGGGUUAUCGGGAUUUUAUUUUAUUUUAUUUUUUUCUUUUCCCAUAAUCGAAUUUUGACUCUCUUUUCCAAAAAAAUUCUGCCGUCUAUUCUUCUCGCUCUCCUCUUGCAAAAAAUCUUUGAGUUUUUCCAUCUUUCUCUUCUUCUUCUUCUUCUUGAUUUUUUCCCAAUCUAUUUAUUUUUCUUCGUUUUCACACGCGGUUAGUGCUCGCCUAGUUUCGGUAAGUGUUUCUCUUCAUUUCUGUCAUGAAUCUCUUAGGGACUGAAGUGGUAAUGUUUUUCUCUACGAUUUGGGCAUAGGAGGAGGCUCGGACUGGUGAAUUCAGUGUUCUCGUCUUAACAAUAGUUAAACGGAGGGUUAUCGUUGGUGGUAAGUUGGAUUUCUGUUCGUUCUUGGUUAUC